CCGCUAUGAUCACUGAAGUUAAGCAACCUCCAGCCUGGUCAGUAUCUAGAUGGGUGACCACUUGGGAAUAGCAAGUGCUGUAAG